rnacentral:misc_RNA from 1 species
UAUAUUUAAUCUUCAGAUUCGAUUAUUAACGUAAGAUCAAUUCUUCCAUGCCAUUACAUUUUUCUCAUACAGGACAUUUAGAAUAUAUGCAUAAGUGAGACGUUGAAGAGAUUGUAUAUGGUUUCUUUACAAGUUCUAUAUAUGUCAGAAAAUAUGGAAACUACAUUCUACAUGUAUAUGAUUUUACAAUUACUAGCUAACCGCCGUAUGUAUAGCAUAAAGCUUACAAGUUUCUUCCCUGGCAGUGGCAGCUCAUAAAUUACAUCCAACUACAGAUCAUCAGCAACAAAUACUUGUGACCAGCAACAGCAAUUAUUAGAAAACCUGCAGGGGAGACCUUUCUUUUCUUUUUGGCUUGGCGUAGAUGGAGCUCUUUGGCCAUUCAGAAGAUCAUGAAAAAUAUUGGACUGACCAUACAUAAUACACAAACUGUCAGCCAUAAUACAGAACUGGAUAUGACCCAUGAAUCCUCUUUAGGCGACUUUAUAACUAACAAAAUCAGUACCCAAGUCCAUUCCCUAAAGAAAAAGGCAAAUAAUAACAUGAUCAUAAAGAAAAGCCAACAUUUUUCUUGAAACAAACGCAUGGUACUGAACUCAAAUGCACUCAAGGGUCCCCCCAUCUCCUCUAUGGUUUUCUUUUUCGUAUGUGUAUUAUUAUGAUCAUAUAUGUGUGUGUGUGUGUGUCGGGGAGAUAGGGGGAGGGGGGGCUGCCCAUAAGUUGUCACUGAAACAUUUUCAGGGCUAUCAUCACUGAAUGUCCGGAGCAUAGGUGAAAAAGCAAGCAAAAGUAAAAUAAAGAGAAAGGAACAGUAGUAAUAUAGUAUUAGUAUCGCAAUGGGGAGAAAGUACUGUAGAAAGAAGAGAAGAAAAGGAGAGAGAGAUAGAGAAACGCAUAUUGCCGAGGGAGAGAGCGUGAUCCAGUGAAAAUCUAAGUGGUGGUCUGCACUGCUAAGGCAGCAUUUAAUUGCCUUUGGCCAAAAAUAGGGGAGGCUGUUGCUGCUGCCUCUGCCUGCCUUCCCUGCCUUUUGACUCGAAUCAGGUAGCCCUCCUCGUGUCUCUGUUGAACUUACUGUCUCCUUUCCUGUCCCAAUAAGACAACUAAGAUCCCACAGUUGGGAACUACAAUGACUCUAACUCCCAGUUUGGUUCAUCAUCCACUUUUGUACCACAUCACACGGUAGCCCAUCCCCUUUCUGAAGAAUCACCAUAAACUAUAGGGUAUUUUCUUUUUCUUAAUUAUGUUUCUGCUUCUUCCCUAGCCCAAUGGUUUUCAAAUUCUAUCAUUAAAAUCUCAUAUUUCAGACAACUUGCUUUUGUAUAGUACAAGUCUCGAUGAACCCCUAGGAGUACACAUAUCCCCAAGGCCAAACCACUACCACUGCCACCUCCUCAAGAAAUUUUACUAGUUAAGCUAUACCUUUGCCUUUGAUUCAGUUUUGGUUUGACUAUCGAGAAGUUAAUUACUGACAAUGAAGUUGGGAAACUCAGAUUGAUCCUGGUCUUCCAGAAACUCAUUCCUUUUGCAUUUCUAAUGGAAAUAUUUUAUUGAAUGAUUUUUUUUUUUUUGUUCUAUUAUUGUCUACCUAGAAAUCCAUAAUACAAUUGAAAAUUAGGAUAUCCUGACAAAAGUAGAAGAAAUUGCAGGAAAAAGUUUGCAAAUUUUAUGUCUCUACAAAAGACAGUUGAAAAGGCUGUUUCCACAAAAUGAUACUACAUAUUAGAGCACUGAUAGACAAAAAGAUACGUGCUUUCACAAUAGCUAUUGAGUGACAAUUAUUGCAAUUAUAAUAUAGAGGAAAUUAGACGAGAAAAUUUUAAUUAGUAGAGUUUCGUUUAUGCAGAUGACGUGCCUUAAUCAUGGUUAAAGAAAUUUUUAACAGUUACUGAUCACAGCAACGACGGAACUAUGAACCACUAAAACACUACACAGUGCUAAUACAACCCUUUAUUAUCAUCUCUAGCCUACAUGAAAAUGAAGAAACUAAUAUACCCAAUUUCAGAACGUUGCUAUUAAGAAACACAGUCCAUUUUGUAACUGACUAUUUUGGAUCCGUCAGACUAGAUCAACCCGCAUAGAGAGGCUCUGGCUCUACAAAAUGAAGUAAAAGAUAGCAAGUGUUAGCACAGAAGCAAUAAACAUGUUGGGAGGUGCUGAAAUGCCAUACUUCUCCCCUAGAGAAGCACCAAAGUUGAAUAAAAUUAGAAAUGGAAAAAGCAAGAUGGAAGUAGGUAGCUAUUCCCAUCUGAUUCAUUAGUUUCCUUCUUUUUAAUUAUAACUUUUUUUUUUUUCAAUUUUGAUUAUGCUAAAAUGCAAAUAAAAAAUAUUAAUAUAUUAUGAAGAUAUUAAAAAGAAUUUUAUGUGUUCAUUAUAUAUGUCAGGUUGGAGAUCCCCACCAAAAGAAAAACUUGCAUCAUUCAGGGCAGAUCACGCAAGGAAUGGGGAACCCUCCAGCCAACAGCUGAAUUAACUAAAACAUUCAAAGUAGAAUAAGGCUUCCUUCAACUCUGAAGCUAAUGUAUACAUUAUAUUAAGCGAAUUUCACCUAGAAAUCAAAGUAUAAAUGCGACUAUUCUUAGCAUAAUUGACCUUAACAUGUUUCCAGAGAACAGCAAACAAAUGAGGCUACAAUUGAAUGAUGGGUUAGUCAUUCACACCAAACAACUUAAACCAUCAUAUUGUGCAAACAUCAAUGCAAAAUGAAAGGAAUAGUUUAUUUUCUUGCCCAUGUUACACAUUAAUGUAACAUUAAAAGUGUUGAAAAUAUGGUUUGAGUCACCCAUGUGGAUCAACCUUGAUCCAAUAGACUUAAAAUCAGAAUCAAGAAUAAUCGCAUGAAAAGUCCUGUACAUUGCCAAAAGGUAGUAAAAUUCAAAAAUCAUGUACAUUGGUUAAAAGAUGUGAUCACAUGAAGAGAUGCAACUCUUCUUAAUAGUUACAUGCAUGAAGUAAUGCAACUUUUGACUAAAAGUUUGGUACACUUUGAGUAACUAUAUAUAAGAGCUUUACAAACUUUUUGUAAUGAGUAACAAAUGGACAAAUGAAUGUGCAUUUAUGUGUGUGCAAAUUUGGCCCGGUUCUUAAUCUUUGAAGACUCUCAUUUUAAACAAGUUGUGAAACAAUUUUUUUUUUUUUGGCAAAUAAGAUACACAUCUAGACUGUAAACUAAUCUAUAUAUUUCAUGUUAUUCAUGCAAUUAUAUGGUAGACUAGUGAUACAAAUAUGGUAGAGAUCUUAGGGUUGCAUGAACAUAGGUUAGGAUCUAUGUAUUUGAAUCCAUGUGUUGGGUUCUCUUUUUAAUUUUCCUUCAAAAAGGAACAACUUAUUUCCUAGGAGGGAAAGAAAUUUGAUUUCUCCAUUUACUUUUCUUUUCUUCGGCCAGGAAAGAAUUUUAUUAACAAAAACCAUUUAAUUCAUUUCCUUCAAACAUAUUUGCUCUCAAGGAAACAAAUGUUUAUCAUUCAAAUAGCCGCAUAACUGCAAAAUGAGAUUUUCAAUCAUGACUCAUGACAUAACAGUCUCAAUUUUACCAUCAAAGUUCCAUACCACAGGCACAUGCAUACAGGGAGAAAAAUGCAUACCGGUAACAACAAAGAAACCAAUAAAAAUCAGACAUUUUUUUUUUUUUGUGAAAUGAAACAAAGAAUAUGUGCAGGCGAGACUUACAGACAAGUUGAAAAACAUUCUAUCCAGUAAUAGUUUAUUCUCGGUAUUUAAGGGAGUGACCAUGAAAUACUUGGUUCUUUGAACAAGCAAAGUGGAGAUAAAAAGUUAAGGAAUAUCUUAAAAAUUAUUGAUAUGUAGCUUGCUCAGAUGUUAUGGUCCAUAUUUUUAACUGUCAGCUUAAAAUAUAAGGUUGUAUGGAAAAAAGGAAAAGACAAACCAUGCUUCUUCACUCACCAAUUAUCUGGUGCCCAAUUACAGCCAUCAGUAUCCACCACAUGCAAGCUGUAGGCAUGCCUUGAUUUUGAAGAAUGAUUCUCAAAACUUUGAUGAAUAAGAUCACCAUGAAUGACGACCAAAGAUCCAGUUUUCACUUCAAUAGGCACAAAAUCCUUUUGGUCAUAAGAAGGGAAAGGCCGAUCAAAAUACAUCCCUUGUCCACUUGUAAGAAACCUUCUGAUCAGACCAUUUUUAUGAGAUCCGGGAUUCUUAUUGUUGCAUCUUCCAAGGCCAGCCACAGCCCUGUGCAAGUUGUUGGUUCAGUAUACAAAAAUGAGUUGUCCUGUUGAGGCACUACUUCACCUCCAAUACCUGGUUGCUGUUAAUAAAGAUCUCACAGGUUAGAAAAAAGCAACAAAUUAUAGUUGAAUAUGUAAUUCCUCCCAAAAAUGGGGGAUCCUUAGCUUCAGAACCAACAUGAAGAUAACAAGCCAUUUUGAAUCCUUCAGGUUCACUGUAUCAAUCUAUAAAAGUAUCUGAAUUAUUAUCCUCUAGGCAAUUUUCUUUAAGGCAGGUGUCUUUCAGUGUCAGAAAUAUCCUAAAUACAAAUGAGAGAGUAUUUCAAAGUAUAUCAUAUAAUAUCCAGUCACAAUGAUUAUGCCAUGUAAUAUAGCACACACAUUAUGAAUCCUUCCAUGGAAGGUCUGAAUCAAAUUGGGAUUUAUACAAUAAGAUGAAUAGCUAUAGGCACCCAGCAGGGUUUUCAUGUCCGAUGCAUUUCUUACCUUGGUCUAAGUAGCCAAAAAUCCAAAAAUCUCAUGAACUGAAAUUAUAACAUACCUUAAAAAUUUUUUAAAGACAGGGUCAAGCUCAUGUAAGGCUGCAUAAGUAUACCACUCGUAUUGUGAAAACUAACCCCAAAGAAAACUGCGUAUCACAGUCAUGACUGCAAUUGGAGUGAAUUUACCCAGCUCCAGUAGUAUUUUAUGACAUUAAGAAUUAGUAUAGCAGCAACAGCAUACCAUGACCAACUUUGUUAAUAGAGAGUUGCUUUGGUUGCUGGAGGUUUCCAUCCUCCCCAAAUGCUUUCUCUUCGAAGAAAAAAGAGAUAUUCUCCGCGCUUUCGAAGAAGUAAUUGUCAGUUGAUUGUUGCAGAUUCUUGGUAGAGAAAAUUGAAGCGGUGGAGGAGCAGCCAAAAUCAUCAAGCAAUUACUCCAUUCUCUUCAUCAUGGCAUCGAUUUCUUCAGGGCAAAUAAAGAUAACCUUGAGAGUUGAAAAACUGAAGCUGCUCGGAAGUGAGAUUUCCGUUUGUCCCCAUGGCGUUGGCUCUUUUCCGUAUGUGUCUUCCGGUGAGAGUUAU